rnacentral:rRNA from 1 species
UACGUAGGGAGCAAGCGUUGUCCGGAAUCAUUGGGCGUAAAGAGCGCGUAGGCGGUCCGGUAAGUCGGUUGUGAAAACUGGGGGCUCAACCCUCAGAGGCCGACCGAUACUGCCGGGCUAGAGUCCGGAAGAGGCGAGUGGAAUCCUGGUGUAGCGGUGAAAUGCGCAGAUAUCAGGAGGAACACCGGUGGCGAAGGCGGAUCUCUGGGCCGAUACUGACGCUGAGGAGCGAAAGCGUGGGGAGCGAACGGG